rnacentral:tRNA from 3 species
ACGACUAUAGCUCAGUUGGUUAGAGCGCUACCUUGACAUGGUAGAGGUCCCCAGUUCGAGUCUGGGUAGUCGUACCA